rnacentral:rRNA from 1 species
GACGAACGCUGGCGGCGUGCUUAACACAUGCAAGUCGAACGGUAAGGCCCUUCGGGGUACACGAGUGGCGAACGGGUGAGUAACACGUGGGUGAUCUGCCCUGCACUUCGGGAUAAGCCUGGGAAACUGGGUCUAAUACCGGAUAGGACCCUGGGAUGCAUGUCCUGGGGUGGAAAGCUUUUGCGGUGUGGGAUGGGCCCGCGGCCUAUCAGCUUGUUGGUGGGGUGAUGGCCUACCAAGGCGACGACGGGUAGCCGGCCUGGGAGGGUGACCGGCCACACUGGGACUGAGAUACGGCCCAGACUCCUACGGGAGGCAGCAGUGGGGAAUAUUGCACAAUGGGCGCAAGCCUGAUGCAACGACGCCGCGUGAGGGAUGACGGCCUUCGGGUUGUAAACCUCUUUCAGCACCGACGAAGCGCAAGUGACGGUAGGUGCAGAAGAAGGACCGGCCAACUACGUGCCAGCAGCCGCAGUAA